rnacentral:rRNA from 1 species
UACGUAGGGCGCGAGCGUUGUCCGGAAUUAUUGGGCGUAAAGAGCUCGUAGGCGGCCUGUUGCGUCCGCUGUGAAAUCCCAGGGCUCAACCCUGGGCGUGCAGUGGAUACGGGCAGGCUGGAGGCAGGCAGGGGAGAACGGAAUUCCCGGUGUAGCGGUGAAAUGCGCAGAUAUCGGGAAGAACACCCGUGGCGAAGGCGGCUCUCUGGGACGGUACUGACGCUGAGACGCGAAAGCGUGGGGAGCGAACAGG